CCACGGCUAAACCACAUUAUUUCUGCAGACUGACUCUCUCCAGUGUUCACUCGCUCGUGUGUUUCCACAGUAUUGGACAGUAACACCUUCAUGGUGGGAGGAGACAAGAACAGCCGCAGGAAGUCGAGGUUAACUCUACACUGUGAGGCCUGGGGUCAAAGGUCAACACAGGGCUAAUUGAAUCAUACAGAGUCUGGUGGGGUCUCAUGGACGACAGUGUUUACUGAGGUUAAAGAUUCCUCACCGUCCGUGAACGCUCUGAUGAAGGUCCAGAUGAUCGUCGGCUCUUUAAUGACAAUAAACAGAACUUCAGAUUUAAGGUGGUAUGAUGAACUUUGAAAAUUAAGGUACUAUGAUAAACUCUCAGAUUUAAGGUAGUAUGUUACUUUUGAGAUUGAAGGUAGAAUGAUAAACUCCCAGAUUUAAGGUAGAGUUACAAACUCCCAGAUUUAAGGUAGUAUGAACAAAUUUGAGAUCUAAGGUAGUAUGAUAAACUCUUAUAUUUAAGGUGGUAUGACAAACUUUCAGAUUUAAGGUGGUAUGAUAAAUUUCCAGAUUUAAGGUAGUAUGAUAAACUCUUCUAUUUAAGGUGGUAUGAUAAAGUCUUAUAUUUAAGGUGGUAUGAUAAACUCUUGUAUUUAAGGUGGUAUGAUAAAUUUCCAGAUUUAAGGUGGUAUGAUAAACUCUUAUAUUUAAAGUGGUAAGAUAAACUCUUGUAUUUAAGGUGGUAUGAUAAAUUCUUAUAUUUAAGGUGGUAUGAUAAACUCUUCUAUUUAAGGUGGUAUGAUAAACUCUUAUAUUUAAGGUAGUAUGAUAAACUCUUAUAUUUAAGGUGGUUUGAUAAACUCUUAUAUUUAAGGUGGUAUGAUAAACUCUUAUAUUUAAGGUGGUUUGAUAAACUCUUAUAUUUAAGGCGGUAUGAUAAACUCUCCUCCGUCAGCUGAUGGAUGAGAAAUCCGCGUUCUGGUGUCAGAGUUUGCACAAACGUCCUGCUGCGGUCAGGAGCUUCAGAUCCUCUCAGGUCUGUGGAGAGAAAACAAACUCCAGCUGGUUUCAGAAGAUUCACUCAUAGAGGACAGUUG